UCUCGAAAUCGUAUUAUUUUC
rnacentral:piRNA from 1 species